rnacentral:misc_RNA from 1 species
CAACCCUCGCGCCCAGCGCGGUGAUGGGGAUCCGCGGCACCGCGGGCCCUGAAAAACAGUGGCGGCACCGCCUGGAACGCAGCGUAGUAAAACACCUCGCUAGCGGCUUUAGGUGUUGCCCGCCGUUAACACUCCCCUAG